AUGGGUAUAGGUCUAGUAU
rnacentral:miRNA from 1 species